rnacentral:rRNA from 1 species
GACGAACGCUGGCGGCGUGCUUAACACAUGCAAGUCGAACGGAAAGGCCCUGCUUUUGUGGGGUGCCCGAGUGGCGAACGGGUGAGUAACACGUGAGUAACCUGCCCUUGACUUUGGGAUAACUUCAGGAAACUGGGGCUAAUACCGGAUAGGAGCUCCUGCUGCAUGGUGGGGGUUGGAAAGUUUCGGCGGUUGGGGAUGGACUCGCGGCUUAUCAGCUUGUUGGUGGGGUAGUGGCUUACCAAGGCUUUGACGGGUAGCCGGCCUGAGAGGGUGACCGGCGACAUGGGGACUGAGAGACGGCCCAGACGGCUACGGGAGGCAGCAGUGGGAAAUAUUGCACAAUGGGCGGAAGCCUGAUGCAGCAGCGCCGCGUGCGGGAUGACGGCCUUCGGGUUGUAAACCGCUUUCGCCUGUGACGAAGCGUGAGUGACGGUAAUGGGUAAAGAAGCACCGGCUAACUACGUG